CUUCUGGCUACCGGUUUGUUCGAUAACACAGUGAGGUGUUUCUCCAGCUUCCCACGGAUAACGUGAGUAAUCUUUACGUCAGAUUCAUCAGCCUAUGCCUUACUAACCGUACUAAAGGACAUAGGCAGAAGAUAAAACGACUAAACUCCUACUGCUCAACUCAUCUACAACUGCAUUUUACUUUCAAAAUCUGACUUUCAAACAACAAACACCACAACUCCUUUCUAAAAUGCACGUGAAGCAUAAUGCUUAGUAAGUUAAAAAAAAUGGCGAAAUUCUUAUUCAAAGGUAUUAGCCCCCAUUUGUAGAAUGAACCGUUUUAAGAGUGACUUCUUAGCUGCGUGGUCCUACUCAGGGUUUUUGAUCUUAAAGUUCAUUUUCAUGCAACAGUUCCCUAAAUUUAAGACAAUCUUUUCAUGCUACCUUCUCUGCUUAAAGUUUAAUACAUGCUUCAAUUCAUUAGAGUAUUAAUGUUUGGCAUUGCUAGAAUUGAGAAACCUUUCAAAUUUAUCAGGUAACUGUAGCAUAGAGUUCAAAUAAUCCUAAAAAAAUGUGGUUUCAUGCUAAGGCAUUUUUUAUGUGUAGCUAUUACCUUUAUUUCAUUUUAGCAGGAUGAAGGGAACUCUAAAGAACCAACACUGUUUGACUGCAGCUUAAAAAGGCUUGUUGUGCUUAUUCAUCUUUAAAAAUUUUUUUUUAUCUGAGAGUGUUAAAAUACUUUUAAUAAUGUAAAUGAUUAAUAAUACCUUAAGACUGAAACAGCAAUCAUAAGCGUACACAUUCAUCAGAUUUGAUUUGAUUGGAUUACUUUUUUUUUAUUACAAAAAAUAAAAUAAGAUAAUUCAUAUCCAAAUUUAAUGAAUGCCAAAAUUUAUUUGCAUGGCAGCACAGCAAAGAUGAAGUAACAUGGUUAUUCUUAAAAAAAGAAUUUACAUCAGUACAAGAAAUACAAUAAGGGAGUGAUACUUAAACAUCAACAUAGACAUACACUGCAUUUGUGCUCUCUCUAAUCAUUACACAACAUAUUCUAUUAAUAUUGAAAAAAUAAUAUCUAUCAUUUCCAUUAUUACUUAAAAGAGAACAAAGCAGUUCAUUUAAAAAACAGUUUCUGUUACUGUAUUGCCAUAGCAAUUUGCUGUUAUUAAGAAUGAAUUCAAGACAUACUUUGACAGGUCUCAGUAAGCUCGCUGUGUAGUAGUAUGGUUAUGACAUGCAGGUUUGUGCAGUGUCUCUGUUGAUUUAGGUUCGGGAUUCAAAAGUCUCAAAGCAAAAUCUGUAUCGACUGAAACUGAAAAAGCCUAAAAUAAGCUUCAGAGAGCAGCUUUGCAUUUACAGUUGGCAGGACUAGUUGGACAACUUUAAAACAAGUAUACAUGUCAGUAAUUUAUCUGUAUUAUUCUAAAAAAAUCUUCUACAUUUGAAAGUAAAUAGAGAUAACAUCCAGAACAAAGUAUCUGCUUGAAUUUCCAAUAUAAAUUACUCAAAUUCACGAAACCGUCAUCUUCAAAUUUCUGACUAGUGUUCCGAUACCUUUACUCUGCGCUUCAGCUGUUCUAAAACUGUAGUAGGGAGCUGGGGUUGAGCUGCAGCCUACUUUCACUUCUCCUCACUGGCAUGUGAAAAGCACACAGGUCAGUCUUUAUAAUCCUGUAAUCCAGAUAGCUUGUUCUAUUGACAUACAUGUGGGUGCUCUGUGACAUAGAUUGAUGUAUGGGGAAAGAAGGGCUGGCAACAUAAAAAGACAAAACAAAACAAGCACAGGUAGCUUUAUUACAUGGUGAAGUGAAAGUCACAAGACAAAAAAAUGGCUCAAUUCAGAAACUUUAUCGAAACAGCAUGCAGAAAAAAAUAUAUCAAGCAGUUUUAUGUUGGUAGUUUGCACAUACCUCUCAAAAACUGCUCCAUAAAGGAAAUACUACAAAGUCACUGUCAGGUAAAUCGUUUAAUCUUGACCGAUGUUACGUCCUGCAUGCAACCCCUGUUCGAGUUGAGUGUAGGACAUUCAGAAUCAUUCGCCAUUUUGUAGAAAGUGUGACGUAGCAAAAAAAAAAAAAAAAGGGUGGACACAAAAUGGCCACAGACUUACAAUGUGUUCAUCAGCGUGGUUGCACUCUCAAGUUUUGGAGUUGUUCCUUGGUGCAAUGUUCCUUGUCCAGAUGCAACAUGACACACCAAUGGCUUUCUGCUCCCCUGACACACAUACGUAGAUAUACCAGAAGAUGAAACGCCUCAAGCUCCUACCACGGCUGUCCAUUUGUUCUGACCGUGCUAUCUUCACUCCUCUCAAGCUUCGUGAAACAUGCAACAAAAUAUCAUUGGAGAAAUGGAGCAGACUGUUCAUAGAUAAACUCAGGAUUCAGAAUGAGAGUGUGACGCAGAAGUUCAUUCACGCCUCGCUCUGGGUCUCUUUGGCCGGUCUACAUGGGCCGACCACUAUGAACACCAAUCAGGUCUUUGUGGAUUUGCACACUCAUCCACUCGUAACCCUUUACCCCCCUGUUUUUUUUAAAUGAUUCUUUCACAGUGAAAUAUACAUCUGAACAAUCUUGUGAGUCUCUGGUUGGAUUUAAAUAGCCUUACAUGCUUCAGUCUCUUGGAUACAGGGAACCUUAUUGGCUGAGAGUGCAUGCUGGGCAGGCCCAAUCAGAGGGCAUCACCAUGGAGCUUUGCAGCCAAUGGGAGGAGGGAGAUGGUCUCUGUGAUUUCAUUGUCACUAAGGGAGGAGGAAACGUACUGACAGGCCAGUUGGCAGUGACAUGGAAAGCAG